rnacentral:rRNA from 1 species
AUUGAACGCUGGCGGCAUGCUUUACACAUGCAAGUCGAACGGUAACAGGCCGCAAGGUGCUGACGAGUGGCGAACGGGUGAGUAAUGCAUCGGAACGUGCCCAGUCGUGGGGGAUAACGCAGCGAAAGCUGUGCUAAUACCGCAAACGAUCUAUGGAUGAAAGCGGGGGACCGUAAGGCCUCGCGCGAUUGGAGCGGCCGAUGUCAGAUUAGGUAGUUGGUGGGGUAAAGGCUCACCAAGCCAACGAUCUGUAGCUGGUCUGAGAGGACGACCAGCCACACUGGGACUGAGACACGGCCCAGACUCCUACGGGAGGCAGCAGUGGGGAAUUUUGGACAAUGGGCGCAAGCCUGAUCCAGCAAUGCCGCGUGCAGGAAGAAGGCCUUCGGGUUGUAAACUGCUUUUGUACGGAACGAAAAGGUCUGGGUUAAUACCCUGGGCUGAUGACGGUACCGUAAGAAUAAGCACCGGCUAACUACGUGCCAGCCGCCGCCGUAA